AGCCCGCUCGCCGGAAGACCAAGGGUUCCUGUCCAACGUUAAUCGGGGCAGGGUGAGUCGACCCCUAAGGCGAGGCCGAAAGGCGUAGUCGAUGGGAAACAGGUUAAUAUUCCUGUACUUGGUGUUACUGCGAAGGGGGGACGGAGAAGGCUAUGUUGGCCGGGCGACGGUUGUCCCGGUUUAAGCGUGUAGGCUGGUUUUCCAGGCAAAUCCGGAAAAUCAAGGCUGAGGCGUGAUGACGAGGCACUACGGUGCUGAAGCAACAAAUGCCCUGCUUCCAGGAAAAGCCUCUAAGCAUCAGGUAACAUCAAAUCGUACCCCAAACCGACACAGGUGGUCAGGUAGAGAAUACCAAGGCGCUUGAGAGAACUCGGGUGAAGGAACUAGGCAAAAUGGUGCCGUAACUUCGGGAGAAGGCACGCUGAUAUGUAGGUGAAGUCCCUCGCGGAUGGAGCUGAAAUCAGUCGAAGAUACCAGCUGGCUGCAACUGUUUAUUAAAAACACAGCACUGUGCAAACACGAAAGUGGACGUAUACGGUGUGACGCCUGCCCGGUGCCGGAAGGUUAAUUGAUGGGGUUAGCCGCAAGGCGAAGCUCUUGAUCGAAGCCCCGGUAAACGGCGGCCGUAACUAUAACGGUCCUAAGGUAGCGAAAUUCCUUGUCGGGUAAGUUCCGACCUGCACGAAUGGCGUAAUGAUGGCCAGGCUGUCUCCACCCGAGACUCAGUGAAAUUGAACUCGCUGUGAAGAUGCAGUGUACCCGCGGCAAGACGGAAAGACCCCGUGAACCUUUACUAUAGCUUGACACUGAACAUUGAGCCUUGAUGUGUAGGAUAGGUGGGAGGCUUAGAAGUGUGGACGCCAGUCUGCAUGGAGCCGACCUUGAAAUACCACCCUUUAAUGUUUGAUGUUCUAACGUUGACCCGUAAUCCGGGUUGCGGACAGUGUCUGGUGGGUAGUUUGACUGGGGCGGUCUCCUCCUAAAGAGUAACGGAGGAGCACGAAGGUUGGCUAAUCCUGGUCGGACAUCAGGAGGUUAGUGCAAUGGCAUAAGCCAGCUUGACUGCGAGCGUGACGGCGCGAGCAGGUGCGAAAGCAGGUCAUAGUGAUCCGGUGGUUCUGAAUGGAAGGGCCAUCGCUCAACGGAUAAAAGGUACUCCGGGGAUAACAGGCUGAUACCGCCCAAGAGUUCAUAUCGACGGCGGUGUUUGGCACCUCGAUGUCGGCUCAUCACAUCCUGGGGCUGAAGUAGGUCCCAAGGGUAUGGCUGUUCGCCAUUUAAAGUGGUACGCGAGCUGGGUUUAGAACGUCGUGAGACAGUUCGGUCCCUAUCUGCCGUGGGCGCUGGAGAACUGAGGGGGGCUGCUCCUAGUACGAGAGGACCGGAGUGGACGCAUCACUGGUGUUCGGGUUGUCAUGCCAAUGGCACUGCCCGGUAGCUAAAUGCGGAAGAGAUAAGUGCUGAAAGCAUCUAAGCACGAAACUUGCCCCGAGAUGAGUUCUCCCUGACUCCUUGAGAGUCCUGAAGGAACGUUGAAGACGACGACGUUGAUAGGCCGGGUGUGUAAGCGCAGCGAUGCGUUGAGCUAACCGGUACUAAUGAACCGUGAGGCUUAACCUU
rnacentral:rRNA from 1 species